GACGGAGGGGGCUAGCGUUGUUCGGAAUUACUGGGCGUAAAGAGUGCGUAGGUGGUUUAGUAAGUUGGGAGUGAAAGCCCGGGGCUUAACCUCGGAAUAGCUUUCAAAACUACUAAUCUAGAGUGUAGUAGGGGAUGAUGGAAUUCCUAGUGUAGAGGUGAAAUUCUUAGAUAUUAGGAGGAACACCAGUGGCGAAGGCGGUCAUCUGGGCUACAACUGACACUGAUGCACGAAAGCGUGGGGAGCAAACAGG
rnacentral:rRNA from 1 species